CAGCCGCCCUCUCUGGCACACAGCGGCUUUGGUAGGAUUAAAGGAAAAUGCCCUGCCUGGUACACUGUGGCCCUCAACAAUGAUUGGGAGACUGAGGCUGGAGAGAGGCAGGCUGUGCUGGGUCGUGACCGCGGGGAAGUCCCAGUCUCUCCGUGGGCUUCAGUUUCUCCCUCUGGUGAAUGAGAAGCAGACUCCCUCCUGCCAAGGGUUCAGGACUUUCCCAUCUUUGUUGCCAUGGCUCCUGGAUCAGAAUGCAGCAAUUUUCCCAACUAGAUACGUACUGAUGUUUCCAGUGUCUGUCUGCAAAUAACCAGCCCUGACCCACUAUGGAAGCCACCUGUAAUGGAUCAAAGGACUCCUCACCUGUGUUCUACCUGGUGGGCAUCCCCUCUCUGCUUGAAUCCCUCUUCCUCCUUGUCUUCUUGAUUUUCCUCUUAAUCUCUCUGCUUACUCUGGUGGGAAAUGAGCUGAUCCUGGUGUCUGUGGUGGCAGAGCCCAGCCUACACAAGCCCAUGUACUUCUUCCUGAUCAACCUCUCAGCC